rnacentral:rRNA from 1 species
AGAGUUUGAUCCUGGCUCAGAACGAACGCUGGCGGCGUGCCUAACACAUGCAAGUCGUACGAGAAAAUCCGCUUCGGCGGGUGAGUAGAGUGGCGCACGGGUGAGUAACGCGUGGAUAAUCUGCCUUUAAGCUGGGAAUAACUCACCGAAAGGUGGGCUAAUACCCGAUAAUGCUAUGGGACUUCGGUUUUAUAGCCAAAGAGAGCCUCUACAUGUAAGCCUUCACUUAAAGAUGAGUCCGCGUACCAUUAGCUAGUUGGUAGGGUAAUGGCCUACCAAGGCGACGAUGGUUAGCUGGUCUGAGAGGAUGAUCAGCCACACUGGAACUGAGACACGGUCCAGACUCCUACGAGAGGCAGCAGUGAGGAAUAUUGCGCAAUGGGGGCAACCCUGACGCAGCAACGCCGCGUGAGUGAGGAAGGUCUUCGGAUCGUAAAGCUCUGUCGGGUGGGAAGAAGUGUGCAUAGGUUAAUAGCUUGUGCACUUGACGGUACCGCCAAAGGAAGCACCGGCUAACUCCGUGCCAGCAGCCGCGGUAAUACGGGGGGUGCGAGCGUUGUUCGGAAUCAUUGGGCGUAAAGAGCGUGUAGGCGGCUAGGCAAGUCAGAUGUGAAAUCCCUGGGCUUAACCCAGGAAGUGCAUUUGAAACUGCUUAGCUUGAGUAAGGAAGAGGGAAGUGGAAUUCCUGGUGUAGAGGUGAAAUUCGUAGAUAUCAGGAGGAACACCGGUGGCGAAGGCGACUUCCUGGUCCUAUACUGACGCUGAGACGCGAGAGCGUGGGGAGCAAACAGGAUUAGAUACCCUGGUAGUCCACGCCGUAAACGAUGUUCACUAGGUGUUGAGGGUAUUGACCCCUUCAGUGCCGAAGCUAACGCAUUAAGUGAACCGCCUGGGGAGUACGGUCGCAAGGUUAAAACUCAAAGGAAUUGACGGGUCCCCGCACAAGCAGCGGAGCGUGUGGUUUAAUUCGUUGCUACACGAAGAACCUUACCUGGGUUUGACAUAGCAGUGGUAGGGAAGCGAAAGCAGACCGACCCUUCGGGGAGCUGUUACAGGUGUUGCAUGGCUGUCGUCAGCUCGUGUCGUGAGAUGUUCGGUUAAGUCCGCUAACGAGCGCAACCCUCGCUGUGUGUUACAAGU